rnacentral:rRNA from 1 species
AUUGAACGCUGGCGGCAGGCCUAACACAUGCAAGUCGAGCGGAGCGUCGGACGGGUGAGUAAUGUGUGGGAAACUGCCCGAUGGAGGGGGGUAUCUACUGGAAACGGUAGCUAAUACCCCAUACCAUCAGAUGUGCGCAGAUGGGAUUAGCGAGUUGGUGGGGUAAAGGCCUACCAAGGCGACGAUCCGUAACUGGUCUGAGAGGAUGAUCAGUCACACUGGAACUGAGACACGGUCCAGACUCCUACGGGAGGCAGCAGUGGGGAAUAUUGGACAAUGGGCGAAAGCCUGAUCCAGCCAUGCCGCGUGUGUGAAGAAGGUCUUCGGAUUGUAAAGCACUUUAAGUUGGGAGGCGUUACCAACAGAAUAAGCACCGGCUAACUUCGUGCCAGCAGCCGCGGUAAUAC